AGUUGAUAUAGAGGAUGAUGUUUCAUAGAUAAUUAAAAUAGGAUGAAGUGGAGAGGUAAACCCGGAGUGUUGUGUGAUCGAGGUAUUCCUUUAAAACUCAAGGAAAAUUUUACAGGACAGUCAUACGAUCGGCUAAGAUGUAUGAAUAGAAUGGGGCUGGUUUAGAUCGAUCCUAACCGGAUGAUUAAGAAUUACUCUCAUUUCCUAUAAUAUUUUACUUUACCCUGGUAA